CCCGGGCCUUGUACACACCGCCCGUCACAUGACCCGAGUCGGGGGUACCCGAAGUCGCUGACUCAACCCGUAAGGGAGAGAGGCGCCGAAGGUAUGCCUGGUAAGGGGGAUG
rnacentral:rRNA from 1 species